rnacentral:rRNA from 1 species
AUUGAACGCUGGCGGCAGGCCUAACACAUGCAAGUCGAGCGAGCGGCGGACGGGUGAGUAAUGCCUAGGAAUCUACCUUUUAGUCUAGGAUAACUACCCGAAAGGGUGGCUAAUACUGGAUGCUAAGAGAUGAGCCUAUGUGGGAUUAGCUAGUUGGUGGGGUAAUGGCUCACCAAGGCGACGAUCCCUAGCUGGUUUGAGAGGAUGAUCAGCCACACUGGGACUGAGACACGGCCCAGACCCCUACGGGAGGCAGCAGUGGGGAAUAUUGCACAAUGGGCGCAAGCCUGAGGCAGCCAUGCCGCGUGUAUGAAGAAGGCCUUAGGGUUGUAAAGUACUUUCAGCGGGGAGGCGUUACCCGCAGAAGAAGCACCGGCUAACUCCGUGCCAGCAGCCGCGGUAAUAC